GAUGAACGCUGGCGGCGUGCCUAAUACAUGCAAGUCGAGCGAACGGACGAGAAGCUUGCUCCUCUGAUGUUAGCGGCGGACGGGUGAGUAACACGUGGAUAACCUACCUAUAAGACUGGGAUAACUUCGGGAAACCGGGUCUACUAACGACUAAUAUUUUGAACCGCCUGGUUCAAAAGUGAAAGACGGUCUUGCUGUCACUUAUAGAUGGAUCCGCGCUGCAUUAGCUAGUUGGUAAGGUAACGCCGUACCAAGGCAACGAUGCAUGGCCGACCUGAGAGGGUGAUCGGCCACACUGGAACUGAGACACGGUCCAGACUCCUACGGGAGGCAGCAGUAGGGAAUCUUCCGCAAUGGGCGAAAGCCUGACGGAGCAACGCCGCGUGAGUGAUGAAGGUCUUCGGAUCUUAAAACUCUGUUAUUAGGGAAGAACAUAUGUGUAAGUAACUGUGCACAUCUUGACGGUACCUAAUCAGAAAGCCACGGCUAACUACGUG
rnacentral:rRNA from 1 species